rnacentral:rRNA from 1 species
AACGAACGCUGGCGGCAGGCUUAACACAUGCAAGUCGAACGGGGGCUUCGGCCCUAGCGGCGGACGGGUGAGUAACGCGUGGGAACGUGCCCUUCUCUCUGGAAUAGCCCAGGGAAACAGGGCGUAAUGCCGGAUACGCUCACGCGGGAUGGCAGCUCGUGGGGCAAGGUUGAUGGGGGAAGGAUCGGCCCGCGUCGGAUUAGUUCGCGGGUGGUGUAACGGCCGACCAGGUCGUCGAUUCGUAGCUGGUUUGCGAGGAGGACCAGCCACAAUGGGACUGGGACACGGCCCAGACUCCGAGGGGGGGGAGCAGUGGGGAGCCUUGGGCGAGGGAGGCAACCGUGGUCCAGCCGUGCCGCGUAUGCGAGGAAGGCCGUAGGGUUGUAAAGCUCUUUCAGCGGGGAAGAGAAUGACGGUACCCGCAGAAGAAGCACCGGCUAACUCCGUG